rnacentral:rRNA from 1 species
CGGCGGACGGGUGAGUAAUGCCUAGGAAUCUGCCUGGUAGUGGGGGACAACGUUUCGAAAGGAACGCUAAUACCGCAUACGACCUACGGGUGAAAGCAGGGGAUCUUCGGACCUUGCGCGAUUGAAUGAGCCGAUGUCGGAUUAGCUAGUUGGCGGGGUAAAGGCCCACCAAGGCGACGAUCCGUAGCUGGUCUGAGAGGAUGAUCAGUCACACUGGAACUGAGACACGGUCCAGACUCCUACGGGAGGCAGCAGCU